UGCCGAAGUUUUCCUCGGUAGUUAACUUCCAUAAUUCGGCAGUUAACUGCCGAUGAGCAU
rnacentral:pre_miRNA from 1 species